UGAACAGAGUUUAUGUUUGCGUCUGCGUACAAAAAUAUAACGGUAAAUUCUUUGACGAGAGUCUUUUUCACAUAAAACUGCACAUUUACAUAAAUACCUGUUUCAUAAGGAAAUGCCUGUACCAAGUUAGGAACCUGACAGUUGUUUUCCAUUCGUUUGAUGUGUUUAAGGUUUUAAUUUUGCUAUUUGAUAGGGGACUAUCCGUUUUGACUUUUCCGUGGAUAUCGGUAUUUUUGCUAUUUUAUUUGUUUUCUAGAAAUGAUUUAGUAUGCAAAUCUUGUAGGCUCCUAUAACAUUAAUUUUGUAAAUGUUUUAAACCAACAAAAAAAAAACAACAAAUACUUUAUUAAUUUUAUGAGUCCAAAGCACUCUUCUUGAUUUACCUUUUACAAGAACGUUCAAGUCAAAAACAUUUAACAGUUUUCUUCCUAUCUAUAAAGACAACAGUAGCAUACCGCUGUUCGAAAGUCAUAAAUUGAUUUCGAUAAAACAAACCCGGGUUACAAACUGAAACAGAGGGAAACACAUUAACUAUAAGAGGAAAACCACGAAACAACAGAAACACAGUGCAACAAAAAAUAACAAAAGACAAUGCUUCACACACAGAAACGAACUAUAAGAUAACAACUGUCAUUUUCCUCACUUAUUACAGGACAUUUACAAAAAAAUGGUGGGUUGAACAUGGAUUUAUGGGUAGCCAAACAUCGCGCUUUUAUGGCAAUGUUAAAUAUAACACUUAAUUGACAACAUAACAUGACAGGACAACAGUUCGAAUAAAUGCAAAAAUAUUCAGGACAGAGACAUACAAAGUUGUCAAGAUAAUAAAAAAAACACGAUACAAUUGUUGAAAACAAUAGAAAAAACAAAGGAUACGGGCUAUCCAUUCAUGACACAAUAUCAGUACAUGUACCCCCCCCCCCCCCCCCAUUACACACACUAACAAAACAAAGUUAUUUAGGGACAGUACUGCUACAAGGAAUUACUUGAUGGUUUUAAUCAUGUUGAUAUAUUUGUGGAUAUUGUAUUGCUUAUCACUGAAUAAAACAAUUAACUUUCUUUAAAUUGUAUCCUUAUGACUUAUCCGACCGUGUUAUUCCAUCUGAAUCUAAAAUGGGUUUGUGUAUAAGAAAUUGAACAAAGGUAUAAUUGAAGUUAUAUUUCUGGAUGGAAAAGUUUGCUUACCACGAAAUAAUUUAAAACACUAGCUAUUUGUAUGGAAUAUAAAACUUUUAGCUGACAAAGAAUAUCGUGUACUGGAAAACCAUGAUUUUGUUAUUAGUACGAUAAACCAAAUGUUCAUCGAAACGUUGUUCGAUUGGACAGGUAUUUUAUAGGUAAACAAAUCUGAUCAAAUAUGCAAGGCUUAUGAUUUUGUAUACAGCAAUAACUGCUCAAGAUAGGUAAAAGAUUUUAUGGAGUUCAUUUUAAGAGAUUUAAGAAACAGCAAUCAGUUUUAAUAGGAAUAGGUAAACUAUGGCAUAGUGUACAACAGUUUACAAACUUAAAAUGGCAAACGUUAUUAAUUGGAAAAAGUAUGCUAUGUCAUGGUGGACAACUCACAAACCGAAAACGCAAACAUCGUUAAUUUCGUUUGAAAAUUUAUAAAUUGACAAAUGAUAUAGGCACCUAUUUAUUGAGAUACGCCGUAUACUGAACUCUAUGUCUUUUAUUUUUAUUUUUUGUUCUUCUGUUUAGUUGAGUUGUUGUCUUUUUAAAGUAUAACC
rnacentral:lncRNA from 1 species